AUGUCAACUAGUGUACACAUCCCCCAGGAGGAAAGGCUGGUGUUGAUCCUGGUGUGUGCAGGAGCAGCCGUCAUCGUCCUCACAGCUGUUAGCUCAGCAGCUCUUGUAGUCAGGAGGAUGGUCUACAGAACCAGGGAACCCGAGUAUCGUUUCUCCAACCUGCGCAGUCAGGAUGACAGCAGCUGCAUCACAGCAGACCUGCUGAGUACUACCAGCAGCAACGGUACAGUGUACCAGCAGGAAUCGGAUAACUUGAUCUUACAGGAUUUCACAGGAUCAGUGAAGCACAGCUCCAUUUCCCUGACAUGAUGAACGCUCAUCGUUGAAAGCCUCUGCACUAAAAACUAACCGCAAGCCACGCUUUCUUGGAAACGUCCCACCACUUUCAUGGAAGCCCCUUUGUGUCAAGUUUUUAUUUUUUAAUUAAUUAAAUAUUAAUGUUAUUCAUUUUUAUUUAUUAAGCACAGUUCUCAAGUUUCUUUUGUCUCUCUUUGAUUGCUGUAUUGGUUUGUUAUUGUUUUGUAAGCUUGUGAAAAUGAAAAGAAAUUUUAAAAAUCUUUAAAAACAAGCUGCAUUAAAAACCUUGUUG
rnacentral:lncRNA from 1 species